CCUACGGGAGGCAGCAGUGGGGAAUAUUGCACAAUGGGGGAAACCCUGAUGCAGCGACGCCGCGUGAGUGAAGAAGUACUUCGGUACGUAAAGCCCUAUCAGCAGGGAAGAAGAAAGACGGUACCUGACUAAGAAGCCCCGGCUAACUACGUGCCAGCAGCCGCGGUAAUACGUAGGGGGCAAGCGUUAUCCGGAUUUACUGGGUGUAAAGGGAGCGUAGACGGCGGUGCAAGUCUGAAGUGAAAGCCCAGGGCUCAACCCUGGGACUGCUUUGGAAACUGUGGGGCUAGAGUGCUGGAGAGGUAAGUGGAAUUCCUGGUGUAGCGGUGAAAUGCGUAGAUAUUAGGAGGAACACCAGUGGCGAAGGCGGCUUACUGGACAGUAACUGACGUUGAGGCUCGAAAGCGUGGGGAGCAAACAGGAUUAGAUACCCGAGUAGUC
rnacentral:rRNA from 1 species